rnacentral:rRNA from 1 species
UGGGGAAUUUUGGAUCAAUGGGGCGAACCCGUACGAUCCAGCCAUGCCGCGUGUGUGAAGAAGGCCUUCGGGUUGUAAAGCACUUUCGGACGGAACGAAAUCGCGCGGGUGAAUAAUCCGCGUGGAUGACGGUACCGUAGGAAGAAGCACCGGCUAACUACGUGCCAGCAGCCGCGGUAAUACGUAGGGUGCGAGCGUUAAUCGGAAUUACUGGGCGUAAAGCGUGCGCAGGCGGCGCCGCAAGUCAGGCGUGAAAUCCCGCAGCUACUUAGGAUGGCAGGCUGAAUACUACGGUGCUGGAGUGUGGCAGAGGGAGGUGGAAUUCCACGUGUAGCGGUGAAAUGCGUUAGAGAUGUGGAGGAACACCGAUGGCGAAGGCAGCCUCCUGGGCCAACACUGACGCUCAUGCACGAAAGCGUGGGGAGC